GACGAACGCCGGCGGCGUGCUUAACACAUGCAAGUCGAACGCUGAAACCAGAUGCUUGCAUUUGGUGGAUGAGUGGCGAACGGGUGAGUAACACGUGGGUGAUCUGCCCUACACUUUGGGAUAAGCCUGGGAAACUGGGUCUAAUACCGAAUAUUCACAUCAUCGUAGGGGUGGUGUGGAAAGUCUUGUGCGGUGUGGGAUGAGCCUGCGGCCUAUCAGCUUGGUGGUGGGGUAAUGGCCUACCAAGGCGUCGACGGGUAGCCGGCCUGAGAGGGUGUACGGCCACAUUGGGACUGAGACACGGCCCAGACUCCUACGGGAGGCAGCAGUGGGGAAUAUUGCACAAUGGGCGCAAGCCUGAUGCAGCGACGCCGCGUGGGGGAUGACGGCCUUCGGGUUGUAAACUCCUUUCGCUAGGGACGAAGCCUAUGGUGACGGUACCUGGAGAAGAAGCACCGGCUAACUACGUGCCAGCAGCCGCAGUAAAAC
rnacentral:rRNA from 1 species